rnacentral:rRNA from 1 species
ACGCUCGACACCUACGGGAGGCUGCAGUGGGGAAUAUUGGGCAAUGGGCGAAAGCCUGACCCAGCAACGCCGCGUGAGGGAAGAAGGUUUUCGGAUUGUAAACCUCUGUCCUCAGGGACGAAGGACGUGACGGUACCUGAGGAGGAAGCCCCGGCUAACUACGUGCCGGCAGCCGCGGUAAUCUGAGCGGGCUGGCAAGGC